AUGUCUGGGAAACUGCCUGAUGGAGGGGGAUAACUACUGGAAACGGUAGCUAAUACCGCAUAACGUCUUCGGACCAAAGUGGGGGACCUUCGGGCCUCACGCCAUCAGAUGUGCCCAGAUGGGAUUAGCUAGUAGGUGGGGUAAUGGCUCACCUAGGCGACGAUCCCUAGCUGGUCUGAGAGGAUGACCAGCCACACUGGAACUGAGACACGGUCCAGACUCCUACGGGAGGCAGCAGUGGGGAAUAUUGCACAAUGGGCGCAAGCCUGAUGCAGCCAUGCCGCGUGUGUGAAGAAGGCCUUCGGGUUGUAAAGCACUUUCAGCGAGGAGGAAGGGUGGUGUGUUAAUAGCGCAUCACAUUGACGUUACUCGCAGAAGAAGCACCGGCUAACUCCGUGCCAGCAGCCGCGGUAAUACGGAGGGUGCAAGCGUUAAUCGGAAUUACUGGGCGUAAAGCGCACGCAGGCGGUUUGUUAAGUCAGAUGUGAAAUCCCCGCGCUUAACGUGGGAACUGCAUUUGAAACUGGCAAGCUAGAGUCUUGUAGAGGGGGGUAGAAUUCCAGGUGUAGCGGUGAAAUGCGUAGAGAUCUGGA
rnacentral:rRNA from 1 species